GACGAACGCUGGCGGCGUGCUUAACACAUGCAAGUCAUGGGGACCCAGCAAUGGGUAACCGGCGAACGGGUGCGUAACACGUGAGUGACCUGCCGAUUUGUGGGGGAUAGCCGGGCCAACGCCCGGGUAAUACCGCAUACGCUCUUCUUGGGGCAUCUCUAGAAGAGGAAACCUCCGGGGCAAAUCGAGGGACUCGCGGCCUAUCAGCUAGUUGGCGAGGUAACGGCUCACCAAGGCUACGACGGGUAGCUGGUCUGAGAGGAUGGCCAGCCACAUUGGGACUGAGAUACGGCCCAGACUCCUACGGGAGGCAGCAGUGGGGAAUAUUGCGCAAUGGCCUAACGGCUGACGCAGCGACGCCGCGUGUGGGAUGACGCCCUUCGGGGUGUAAACCACUGUUGCUCGAGACGAAUAGCGAGCUUUAGCUACGCCUGACGGUAUCGAGUGAGGAAGCA
rnacentral:rRNA from 1 species